rnacentral:lncRNA from 1 species
CAACAUACUAAGUAAAUAGAAUGGCUCAAUACAAAAAAAAAAGAAUUAAAUCUCAAAAUGUGCUGUUCCAAACGUAGUAUAAUUUCUCUGAAAAAUGGUGCUUCUUAUGAGCAGUGUGAAAAACAGUGAUCCAAUAGCAGCAAAAACAGAGAUAGGCAAUUUCCCAGAAGAAGAUUGAUUAGCAGAUUGGACAGGAGUCGAGCCAAAAACAGUAGGGUAAG